UACACUUCCCAGAGGCCUCUGCGCAAAGAGAGGGGCCGGGCAGCGGCUCGCUUCCCCCGCCUCCACAGUGCGGGAUGUUUUAAUCACAGAGGUGUCGCCUUCCUGGCGCUCGCCAAGGUCCCCACGCACCCGGAACAGCCCCCAUCUAAUCAGCCGGGAAGAAAUAAGCGCAGCAAGACACUCUAGGAAAGUCGAUUUCCAAGAGAGGAAUCUUCCAUUCUUCCUCCCAGAGGAUGUAAGCUGAUCUACCAUCAUUCUGGCUGCUGGGCAGGGAAAGUGAGUGAGGCGUUCGCCACCCACCUCCAGAAGGAAAUUCUCCUUGGACUGAUACUGAGGGCCCAAAUGCUCUGGCUUGAUUAGACUUCCUGAAAAGCCCUGUGGAGUUGGGUCCUGAGCCAGACACAUCCGUCCUCAGGUUCUGGAGACCCAUCGUCUGAGAUGUCAGAGUUUUCUCCAGGAUUGCAAGCUCCAGGAAGGCUGAGUUUGUGCUGCAUUUUAUUCACCGUUGUAUCCCCAGCACCCAGUACAGUGCUUGCCAGUUGCAGGUAAUCAGUGAAUGUCCUUUCAACGUAUGUGUUCGAUUGUAAGCAUCGAUCUCCUUAGGUAUCCACCCAAGAUAAAUGAAAACAUAUGUCCACACAAAGACUUGCAUGUAAAUGUUCAUAGCACCGUUAUUCAUAAUAGCCCCAAAGUGGAAACAAUCCAAAUGUCCAUUAGUUGGCGAGUGGAUAAGUAUUGUAAAAAGAUGGCAUUAUCCAUACAAUGGAGGACUCUGCAGUGAUAAAAAGGAAUAAACAGAUAAUAUAUUCUACAACGUGGAUGAACCACCAAGAUGUUGCAUUAAGUGAAAUAAGCCAGACACAAAUGACUGCAUAUUGCACUGUUCUGUAAGGAUGAAAUUUCUAGAAAAGGCAAAACUAUAGAGAAGAAAGCAGAUCAAUGGUUGCCUGGGCCUGGGAGUGGGAGUGGGGAGUGACUGCAGACAGGAAGGAGGGAGCUCCUGGGGGAGGUGGAAAUUUUCUAAAACUGGAUUGUGGUAAAGGUCGCACCACUGUAUAAAUUUACUAAAAAUCAUUAAACUGUACACUUGCAGUAGGUGUGGGGUACGGUAUGCAAAUUAUCUUCAAUAAAGCUGUUAAAAAUGUUUAAAAAAUCAGUCUCCUUACUUAGUCAUUUUAUCCCAUCUUAUGUUCUGGGAAUACUAUUUCUGUGGGACAUUGUGCCAGAGACUGCUAAGUGAGUCUCUCAACUCUUUAGUGACAGAAUCUCAAUUUUUUAAAUUGAAUUAUAGUUGAUUUACAAUAUUGUGCUAGUUUCAGGUGCACAGCAAAGUGAUUCAGAUAUAUAUAUAUAUAUAUAUAUAUAUAUAUAUAUACUUUUUCAGAUUCUUUUCCAUUAUAGGUUAUUACAAGAUGUUGAAUAUAGUUCCCUGUGCUGUACAGUAGGUCCUUGCUGUUUAUCUAUUUUAUAGAUAGUAGUGUGUAUCUGUUAGUCCCGUACUCCUAAUUUAUCCCUUCCCCUGCUUCCCCCUUUGGUAACCAUAAGUUUGUUUUCUAUGUCUGUGAAUCUGUUUCUAUUUUGUAAAUAAGUUCAUUUGUAUUAUUUUUUAGAUUACACAUAUAAGUAAUAUAUAAUUGUCUUUGUCUGACUGACUUCACUUAGCAUGAUAAUCUCUAGGUCCAUCCAUGUUGUUACAAAUGACAAUAUUUCAUUCUUUUUU